UACAGAGGUCUCAAGCGUUGUUCGGAUUCAUUGGGCGUAAAGGGUGCGUAGGCGGCGCGGUAAGUCGGGUGUGAAAUCUUGGAGCUUAACUCCGAAACUGCAUUCGAUACUGCCGUGCUUGAGGACUGGAGAGGAGACUGGAAUUUACGGUGUAGCGGUGAAAUGCGUAGAGAUGUGGAGGAACACCAGUGGCGAAGGCGACUCUUUGGCCUGUAACUGACACUGAGGCGCGAAAGCGUGGGGAGCAAACAGG
rnacentral:rRNA from 1 species